CCUGGUGUCCAUACGGUCGGGGAAACGCCUGAUCCCAUUCCGAACUCAGAAGCUAAGCCUGACCGGCCGAUGAUAGUCCUUUGGGCGAAAGUAGGUGAAUGCCAGGA
rnacentral:rRNA from 1 species